AUUGAACGCUGGCGGCAGGCUUAACACAUGCAAGUCGAGCGGGGGAAGGUAGCUUGCUACCGGACCUAGCGGCGGACGGGUGAGUAAUGCUUAGGAAUCUGCCUAUUAGUGGGGGACAACAUCUCGAAAGGGAUGCUAAUACCGCAUACGUCCUACGGGAGAAAGCAGGGGAUCUUCGGACCUUGCGCUAAUAGAUGAGCCUAAGUCGGAUUAGCUAGUUGGUGGGGUAAAGGCCUACCAAGGCGGCGAUCUGUAGCGGGUCUGAGAGGAUGAUCCGCCACACUGGGACUGAGACACGGCCCAGACUCCGACGGGAGGCAGCAGUGGGGAAUAUUGGACAAUGGGGGAAACCCUGAUCCGGCCAUGCCGCGUGUGUGAAGAAGGCCUUAUGGUUGUAAAGCACUUUAAGCGAGGAGGAGGCUACUGAGACUAAUACUCUUGGAUAGUGGACGUUACUCGCAGAAUAAGCACCGGCUAACUCUGUGCCAGCCGCCGCCGUAA
rnacentral:rRNA from 1 species